GUGAUAUUGAUUGUAAUGACUGAAAAUAAUAUAUUCAUACAGAUGACCCUGUUAUGUAUUUGUGAUGUGCACUGCUCCCUUUUGCUAAAUUAAAACGCCCAGUAAAAUCUUUGGUGUGCUUCCUAAUGUAAAGAACAGAGAAACACUGCAGUUUAGGAGGGACUGGAGCUCUGAUUAGUAAUCAGCCAAGCUGGAGUGUUUUAAAGUCAAAGGAAGAAUGGUUAACAUGCUUAAUUGCAU